rnacentral:rRNA from 1 species
UACGGGGGGGGCAAGCGUUGUUCGGAAUUACUGGGCGUAAAGGGCUCGUAGGUGGCCAACUAAGUCGGAUGUGAAAUCCCCAAGCUUAACUUGGGAACUGCAUCCGAUACUGGAUGGCUUGAAUCCGGGAGAGGGAUGCAGAAUUCCAGGUGUAGCGGUGAAAUGCGUAGAUAUCUGGAGGAAUACCGGUGGCGAAGGCGGCAUCCUGGACCGGCAUUGACGCUGAGGAGCGAAAGCUAGGGGAGCAAACGGG